rnacentral:rRNA from 1 species
AUGGCCACGAUGUCCCGCUCCGACGACGAAGACUCCACGCCGGCGAUGCGCCGCCUCCGACGCCUCUCCCUCCACCUCCAACAGUCCUCCGAUCGGCCCGCUCCCGAGGGGGCUAAUGCCCUGGUCCCCACCGCGUGCGCGGGGAAGCGGCGGGCGGGGGGCCUGGACGUGGACGCGGCAGCGCUCACCGCGUACCUGCGGGGGCGGCACUGGGCGACGCAGGAGCGGUUAUACAGGUUCUUCGUCGAGCGGCCGGAGCUCCACACGCCCGUCGAGCUGCCCAUGGGCGCCCACCGCGAGCUCUGCUACCGGCAGAUGGCAGCACUCGUUCGCGAGGCCGGGGUGCGGCCGCUCAGCCUCAUGGCAGACGACCCCGACGAGUACUUCGCCGUCAUGGAGGCCGUCGGCGGGCUCGACAUCUCCCUCGCCGUCAAGUUCGGCGUACAGUACAGUCUUUGGGGUGGUUCUAUAAUAAAUUUGGGAACCAAGAAGCACAGGGAAAAGUACUUUGACAAAAUCGAUAAUUUGGAUUAUCCUGGCUGUUUUGCUAUGACAGAACUGCAUCAUGGAUCCAAUGUUCAAGCCCUACAGACCACUGCUACAUUUGAUUCAGUUACUGAUGAGUUCAUUAUUGAUACACCAAACAAUGGAGCCAUUAAGUGGUGGAUUGGCAACUCAACUCUUCAUGGAAAAUUCGCUACUGUUUUUGCGAGGUUAAUUUUACCGCUUCAGGGAAAAGGAGGGGAACCUGCUGACAUGGGAAUUCAUGCAUUUAUUGUCCCGAUUCGGGACCUUGAAACCCAUGCUGUUCUUCCUGGAAUUGAGAUCAAUGAUUGUGGGCACAAGAUAGGCCUAAAUGGUGUGGAUAAUGGUGCCCUGAGAUUCCGUUCAGUUAGGAUACCCCGUGACAAUCUUCUGAGCAGAUUCGGUGAUGUGGCGCGAGAUGGAAAAUACACAAGCAGUCUCCCCACAAUUAAUAAAAGGUUUGCAGCAACCCUUGGUGAGCUUGUCGGGGGACGAGUUAGUCUUGCAUAUAGUUCUGUGGGUAUACUCAAAGUUGCAGUAACCAUUGCUGUUAGAUAUGCUUUACUGCGUCAACAAUUUGGUCCACCUAAGCAGCCUGAAAUCAGUGUGCUGGAUUACCAAUCUCACCAGCACAAACUAAUGCCUAUGUUGGCAUCAGCGUAUGCAUUUCAUUUUGCCAGGCGGUAUUUGGUAGAUAAGUACUCGGAAAUGAAGAAAACCAAUGACGAGGAUAUUAGCGCUGAUGUCCAUGUACUUUCAUCUGGGUUGAAGUCCUACAUAACUUCAUACACAGCAAAAUCUAUUAGCAUAUGCCGAGAAUCUUGUGGUGGCCAUGGGUAUGCUGCUGUAAAUCGUUUUGGUGGUCUGCGGAAUGACCAUGAUAUAUUUCAAACAUUUGAAGGAGACAAUACAGUUCUGCUGCAGCAGGUUGCCGGCGAUCUCCUGAAGCAAUAUCAGCAAAAAUUUAAGGGCGGAACACUCUCAGUCACCUGGAACUACUUGAGAGACUCCAUGAGCACCUACUUGUCUCAGCCUAACCCCGUUACUGCUCGGUGGGAAGGGGAAGACCAUCUAAGGGAUCCUAAAUUUCAGCUGGAUGCAUUCAGAUAUCGAACAUCUAGACUACUGCAUAGUGUUGCUGCUCGACUCCAGAAGCACAUGAAGACACUUGGAGGUUUUGGUGCGUGGAACAGAUGUUUAAACCAUCUGCUCACGCUCGCGGAAUCACACGUUGAGGCUGUCAUCCUCGCAAGGUUUAUAGAAGCAGUGAAGAGUUGCCCUGAUGCAAAAACACGUGAAGUACUGAAGCUGGUGUGCGACCUUUAUGCGCUCGAUAGGAUCUGGAAAGACAUCGGGACAUAUCGGAAUGUAGACUAUGUCGCGCCAAACAAAGCCAAGGCUAUCCACAAACUGGUAGACUACCUCAGUUACCAAGUGAGGCUUGUUGCUCGUGAACUCGUCGACGCCUUCGAUCUUCCAGAUGAAGUCAUCCGUGCGCCAAUCGGCAUGCAAUCGGAGGCCUACGCUCAGUAUACACAGUGUGUCGGCUUCUAG